AGUCACUGACAUUAGAUACCCCGGUAGUCCAGGGUGUAAACGCUGCAGACUUGGUGUUGGAGGCCCUUUGGGGCAUUCAGUGCCGGAGAGAAGUUGUUAAGUCUGCUACUUGGGGAGUACGUCCGCAAGGAUGAAACUUAAAGGAAUUGGCGGGGGAGCACCGCAACGGGAGGAGCGUGCGGUUUAAUUGGAUUCAACACCGUAAACUCACCAGGGAAGACUGUUACAUGAAGGCCGAGAUGAAGACUCUGCUAGAUUUUCAG
rnacentral:rRNA from 1 species